CACGGGGGGAGCAAGCGUUGUUCGGAAUCACUGGGCGUAAAGGGCGUGUAGGCGGUCAAGUUAGUGGGAUGUGAAAUCCCUCGGCUCACCCGAGGACGUGCAUCCCAAACUGCUUGGCUUGAGUAUGGGAGAGGAUGAGGGAAUUCCUGGUGUAGCGGUGAAAUGCGUAGAUAUCAAGCAGAACACCUGCGGCGAAGGCGGCCUUCUGGACGAUGACUGACGCUGAGACGCGAAAGCGUGGGGAGCAAACAGG
rnacentral:rRNA from 1 species